GAUGAACGCUGGCGGCGUGCUUUACACAUGCAAGUCGAACGAGAAAUGUAGACGGAAACCUUCGGGCGGAAGCCUUCAUUUCGAGUGGCGGACGGGUGAGUAACGCGUGGGUAACCUGCCUCAUACAGGGGGAUAACAGUUGGAAACGACUGUUAAUACCGCAUAAGACCACAGCAUCGCAUGAUGCGGGGGUAAAAACUCCGGUGGUAUGAGAUGGACCCGCGUUCGAUUAGCCAGUUGGCGGGGUAACGGCCCACCAAAGCGACGAUCGAUAGCCGAUCUGAGAGGAUGACCGGCCACAUUGGGACUGAGACACGGCCCAAACUCCUACGGGAGGCAGCAGUGGGGAAUAUUGCACAAUGGGGGAAACCCUGAUGCAGCGACGCCGCGUGAGUGAAGAAGUACUUCGGUAUGUAAAGCUCUAUCAGCAGGGAAGAAAAUGACGGUACCUGAGUAAGAAGCCCCGGCUAACUACGUG
rnacentral:rRNA from 1 species